rnacentral:rRNA from 1 species
GACGAACGCUGGCGGCGUGCCUAAUACAUGCAAGUCGAACGCAGUGGGGACGGGUGAGUAACACGUGGGUAACCUCCCAUCAAAGGGGAUAACGCUUGGAAACAGGUGCUAAACCGAUAUUGAUGGAUGGACCCGCGGUGAAUUAGCUAGGUGGGGAGGUAACGGCUCACCAAGGCCACGAUGCAUAGACGGUCGGAGAGGGUGAACGACCACACGGAGACUGAGACACGGCCCAGACUCCUACGUCAGGCAGCAGUAGGGAUUCUGCGGCAAUGGACGAAAGUCUGACCGAGCCAUGCCGCGGGAGUGAAGAAGGUUUUCGGAUCGUAAAACUCUAUUGUCAGAGAAGCGGAAUAUAACCAGUAGGCAACGGCUAACUACGUGCCAGCAGACGCGGUAAAAC